GUGCAGCAGGCGAGAAACCUCCGCAAUGCGGGAAACCGUGACGGGGUCACCCCGAGUGCCACCCGAUGAGGGUGGCUUUUCCCCGGUCUAAAAAGCCGGGGGCAAUAAGCGGGGGGCAAGUCUGGUGUCAGCCGCCGCGGUAAUACCAGCCCCGCGAGUGGUCGGGACGUUUAUUGGGCCUAAAGCGUCCGUAGCCGGCUCGGUAAGUCCCUCCUUAAAUCCACGGGCUCAACCCGUGGGCUGGGAGGGAUACUGCCGGGCUAGGGGGCGGGAGAGGCCGAGGGUACUCCCGGGGUAGGGGCGAAAUCCGUUAAUCCCGGGAGGACCACCAGUGGCGAAGGCGCUCGGCUGGAACGCGCCCGACGGUGAGGGACGAAAGCUGGGGGAGC
rnacentral:rRNA from 1 species